rnacentral:lncRNA from 1 species
CCAGUUGCUCAUCGUAUUCACCUAUAUUCAUAGACUUUAGCACAAUUCAAAUCAUAUGAUUGACAAGUCUCUCCCUUCAUAAAAGUAGCAAUGCGACAAGCAAAGGAAUUCACCAACAACUUAUCAAUCAUGAUUCAAGGCGUACGAUACGAGCCUUAAGAAAUAGAUAAGGACUGGGACUGGAGAAUUCCUAUCCCCAUUCUGAAUAUAUUU